rnacentral:rRNA from 1 species
CAGUAGCCGCGGUAAUACGUAGGGUGCAAGCGUUAAUCGGAAUUACUGGGCGUAAAGCGUGCGCAGGCGGUUUGUUAAGACAGAUGUGAAAUCCCCGGGCUCAACCUGGGAACUGCGCUUGUGACUGCACAGCUAGAGUAUGGCAGAGGGGGGUGGAAUUCCACGUGUAGCAGUGAAAUGCGUAGAGAUGUGGAGGAACACCGAUGGCGAAGGCAGCCCCCUGGGCCAAUACUGACGCUCAUGCACGAAAGCGUGGGGAGCAAACAGGAUUAGAUACCCCAGUAGUCCCUGUCUCUUAUAC